CCUACGGGGGGCAGCAGUGGGGAAUAUUGGGCAAUGGAGGAAACUCUUACCCAGCAAUGCCGCGUGAGUGAAGAAGGUCUUCGGAUUGUAAAGCUCUUUGAUUGGGGAUGAAAAAAUGACGGUACCCAAAGAACAAGCCCCGGCUAACCACGUGCCAGCAGCCGCGGUAAUACGUAGGUGGCAAGCGUUGUCCGGAUUUACUGGGUGUAAAGGGCGUGUAGCCGGGUUGACAAGUCAGAUGUGAAAUCCUGCGGCUUAACCGCAGAACUGCAUUUG
rnacentral:rRNA from 1 species